UACGAAGGGGGCUAGCGUUGCUCGGAUUGACUGGGCGUAAAGGGCGCGUAGGCGGUUCGUACAGUCAGACGUGAAAUUCCUGGGCUCAACCUAGGGGCUGCGUUUGAUACGUGCGGACUUGAGUGCGGAAGAGGGUCGUGGAAUUCCCAGUGUAGAGGUGAAAUGCGUAGAGAUCUGGAAGAACACCAAAGGCGAAGGCAGCGUCCUGGCGAGCAACUGACGCUCAUGUGCGAAAGCUAGGGGAGCGAACGGG
rnacentral:rRNA from 1 species